GUGGGCGUGCCGGAGUGGUUAUCGGGCAUGACUAGAAAUCAUGUGAGCUUUGCUUGCACAGGUCUGAAUCCUGUUGUUCACG
rfam:Cucumis melo, WGS project CAJI01000000 data, contig: 12584